rnacentral:rRNA from 1 species
CUCUGAAGAGAGAGUCAAAAGACCGUGAAACCGCUCAGAGUACAAGCCAAUGGCAGUCUGGAAGGCAUUGUGUCGUGGCAAGCGGUGAUCCGCCUCUGCCUGGGGCUGGCGGCGAAGGCUCUUCUUGCUCGGGGGCAGGUAAGGGGUCGUCCAUUCGCGGGUCUCCCGCGUCUCGGUGCGGUCUCCCCUGCUUCUUCGGGCGGAAGUUCAAAGUCGUCAGUCUGCUGGCGCAGCAAAUGCCCACCACAGCACGUUGCGAGGUCACCCACAGGCUCGAGUUGCCGAUCGCGUGUUCGGCCCCUCCGCGCGAUGACGCGUCAGGUUUUGCCGUGCGCCGAAGAGACUUCCUCCCGCUGUGCGAGGGAAGCCCUUCUGAGGCGCCGGCGACGCGGAGCGCGGGCAGGGUCGGCAGGGCGGCAUAACCAUUCGAUGUCCUGGUGCGAUCCUCCAGCGACGAGCUGACUUCUGGUCGAACGCCAGCUCCCGGAGCUUCACUCCCAUGUGCCGGGAGGAGCUCUACACCAGGCGGCCUGUGCCUCCGGCAGCUACUGCAGCUGCCGUGCCUCCGCCGGGUGCUGGCAGGGUGGUGUAAAGUCCAGUGCCAUCGGUCACGUCUCGAAACACGGGCCAAGGAGUAUAGCAUGUGUGCGAGUCUAAGGGUUUCACGAAACCCGAAGGCAACAGUGAAAGCAAGAUUGUGGCGGCGCAAGCUGCCGGGUCUGCGGACCCAGAGGAACAGAGCUGAUCCUGCUGCUUCGGCGGCAAGCCUUGGUGCAGGGCGCAAGCUCCGGGCUCGCUUACCGCCGCGGUCGUCUCUCCUCACAGGGGGACGGCUCGGCUGCGAGCACCGUA